CCACAACACCAGGGAAAAAAACAAACCAACCAACAAACUGAGCCUGAAACUGAUAACACAGAUACGUACAGCAUCAUAUUUAAGUAACCAAUCGGAAUUAUUGCAGUGGAGAUGUUUUAUUGGUGGGAAAUACGGUAUCACACCAUUUCAGACAUCAGGAGAUAAUUAUCCCUGUCUUCUCGGAACCAGCUUCUUCAAAGGAGUCAGGAAUUAUUUAUGAUAGAAACUACUGAAACAAUACUAAGGAGUUCAUAGGUUGCUGAGAAGGUAGCUUCCUGCCCUCUGCUUGAGGAACACGGAUGGAAGAAAGGAGAAGAUCUG
rnacentral:lncRNA from 1 species